CCAUGAUCCAUCGGCCUAUCUACAGCAACAGAAUAUAGUAGUUUAAAUCCUGAACCCGAACAGGCUGGUUUCUGCGUCAUACCUUCUUCAGUUCCGCAGCUGUUAUGUUGUUAAAUUUGAAAGGUACCUAACCCUCCUACAACACGGCAGAUACGUCCCUUAUUCCAAUGUCCAAGGUUCCGUGUUGUGCGAAACUGUGUUAUAUAAGACUAGAAGUCAGUAUACAAAGAAGAGUAUUUUUUCCGAAUGAAACAUCUCGAUUGUGCCAUUAUGUAUUGUUUUACGAAUAUAAAUAAAAAAUAAACAGUAAAA